UACGAGGGGGGCAAGCGUUGUUCGGAAUUAUUGGGCGUAAAGGGCGCGUAGGCGGUUUGACAAGUCUUAUGUGAAAUCUCUGGGCUCAACCCAGAGUCUGCAUGGGAAACUGUCGGGCUUGAGUAUGGGAGAGGUGAGUGGAAUUUACGGUGUAGCGGUGAAAUGCGUAGAUAUCGUAAGGAAGACCAGUGGCGAAGGCGGGUCUCUGGACAGUUCCUGACGCUGAGGCACGAAGGUCAGGGGAGCAAACGGG
rnacentral:rRNA from 1 species